GUGUUCGAAAAGAAAGAGAUGUAGUAUCAUAUGGGAAGCUAAUCAAAGCAGUUGUACUAGAAGUUUUUACUCAUGGGAAAAAGGUCCAAUGCAAUGUGUUUGGAAAUGCUUGUGAUCUGUUGGAAUAUGAUAACUUACAAAAAUAUCCAAGAUCUCCGCUGAUUGUCCUCGAGUCUUUUAAAAUCAAAGCAAUUGAAGGUGGAGUAAUUCUACAGAAUGUGAUAAAUGUCUCUAGGUUAUUCAUUAAUCCCGACAUUCCUGAGUCUGUUGAGUUCCUAA